rnacentral:rRNA from 1 species
AAGAUGAAUAUUAAUAGUUUUGUUUUUUUUAUUUUAUUUUAAUUAAAGUAAUUUUAUUAAAGUUAGUUUUAGUAUGUUUUACAGAAAUAAUAUAAUAAUUUAUAGUGUAGUAGUAUUGUGAAAGAAUUAUGAAAUAUUUGAAAAAUUUAUUUUUAGGGAAGUAAAUUAUUAAUUGUACCUUGUGUAUCAGGGUUUAUCAAUAAUUUUAUAAGGAUUAUAUAAUUCUCGAGUUAAAAAGAGCUAAUAUAACUUGCGAGUUAAUGUGAUAUAUUUAUUAGUAAUGUUAUAUUAGUAAUGAAACGUUAAUCGUUUUUUAAGAUAUCUAGUUUUCUAAGAAAUGAAUUUAAUUCAGUUUAGAAUUAGUAGUUAUUUAAAUUAGUUAAGUAGUUAUUUAUUCUAGAAAAUGACUUGGGGGAUAAGCUUUGGGCCGUAAAUUAUAAUUUAUGAGAAUUGUAUAAAAGUGUAGGCUUUAAAUUAGCUAUCUAUUUAAUAAUGUUAUAAAUUAUUUUGUAAUAAUAUGAUUUUAUAAAAAGUUUAAUUUGUAUAUUAGAAUGAUUUAAAUAAUGAAAUUUUAUUUGAAAUAAUGAUAAAAUUAGUAUAAUUGAUUGUAAUAAUAUUUAAUUUAUAUAAUUUAUGUUAAGGAAUUAGGCAAAAAUAAUGUUCGCCUGUUUAACAAAAACAUGUCUUUUAGUGAAUAAUUUAAAGUCGGGCCUGCCCACUGAUAAGUUGAAGGGCCGCGGUAUUUUGACCGUGCAAAGGUAGCAUAAUCAUUAGUUUUUUAAUUGAAGGCUAGAAUGAAUGGUUUGACGAAACAUUAACUGUCUCAAUAUAAUAAAUAGAAUUUAACCUUUAAGUUAAAAGGCUUAAAUAAGAAUGAGGGACGAGAAGACCCUAUAGAGCUUUAUAUAUUAUAUAAUAAUUUGUUGUAGAAUAUUGGGAAUAUUUAUAAAAAUAUAUUGUGUUGGGGUGACAUGAAGAUUAAAAUAACUCUUUAUAUAAAUUACAUUGAUAUAUGAAUAAUUGAUCCAUUAUUAUUGAUUAUAAGAUAAAGUUACCUUAGGGAUAACAGCGUAAUUUUUUUUAAGAGUUCAUAUCAACAAGAAAGAUUGCGACCUCGAUGUUGGAUUAAGGAAUAUAAUUAGGUGUAGAAGUUUAAAUUAUAGGUCUGUUCGACCUUUAAAUCCUUACAUGAUCUGAGUUCAAACCGGUGUAAGCCAGGUUGGUUUCUAUCUUUAUUAAUGAAAAAUGUUUUAGUACGAAAGGACCAAAUAUUUGAAAUAAUUUUGAUUUUUAAUGAUUAUUAGUA